rnacentral:piRNA from 1 species
UAGAUGCUAUGUCAGGCUCACAGAACUG